rnacentral:lncRNA from 1 species
AUCUUUCAUUCAUCUCUCUCGUUCUUUAUUUUUUACUUCAAACGCGUUAUGAGCACGUAGGUUCUGCCAAGAGCAUUUGAGCGUUGACAAUCACAGUGGAAUUGUUACGGAUAAGGGAUAAGACAAGUUUCAUUGUGAUUACGACGAUCCCAACGGAAAACACCUUGCUCUCCAUCAACAUGUGAUGGACCGAAGAUGAAGAAGUUUCAAGAACGGGAUCGAUCCAUCUACAAGAAUCAAUGAUCCUGAUGGAUCACUGCACGCUGCACUUCAUUUGUCCUGUUUCUGAUUUGAAUAACAAAUGGGUAUUCUAAUCAACUUUAUUGUUGAUUCGGCAUGCAUCAAUUUGGAGCAUGGAGAUCUGACAUGAUCAACGCACGGACGAAAGCCACCACAACAUCGCUCCGACGUCAGAGAUUUCAACCAACCAAUUGCAUCAUCGAGGACACACGAACCGCUGCAGCGUAGUUCUUCCUCAGAUAGGCACGCCUGCAGCAGUCGGCCGGCAUCAUUCGUCCAGGGAGUCCAACGGCAAUAUCGUGUAACGACGCUUCUUCGGAAUUGAUUGCUGGAGAACUUCGUACAUGGACGGACAUGCAACUGUACAGGGAAGAUAGAUCAGAAGAUUUUCGUCUUGUUUUUGUCUCCUCACGAUCCAUCACGGAUCUAACUCUCGUUCUGUAUUAUGCAUGCAAAUCGCUUGUGAACACGACGAGGAGCGACCGCUGGAUUGAAGUGGCGCUCUUGGGCGCACAAUGCAGCGGCUACGCUACAGCCAUAGGACGCGGCGGUGUAUCAGCAUCAAUGAUCCAUUGAUCGUGUCUCUUGAGAGCAGACGGUGCAAUCCGUCGAUGGCGGUUACACACAGUCAUAGGCUCAUAGCCCUCUUGAACGACGUCGGCGACCAUAUCAGCAUGGAACAGAUUAGUCCUCUUACUUUUUUUCAUUUGUGGAUAAGACAUUCCUUUUUCCCUCAUGUUAGACUUUUAUGUCUUCUAAGACUGCAUAAAAUAUAAUUAUGCGUCAUUUUACAUCUUGUAAAAUAUCAUGUGAAG